rnacentral:rRNA from 1 species
GACGAACGCUGGCGGCGCGCUUAACACAUGCAAGUCGAGCGAGAACCAGGACUUCGGUCCUGGGGACAGCGGCGAACGGGUGAGUAACACGUGGGUAAUCUGCCCUCGGUUCCGGGAUAGCCCGGGGAAACUCGGAUUAAUACCGGAUAGCCUCACGAGCCUUCGGGGGAGUGAGAAAAGGUAGCUUUGGCCUCUGACCGAGGAUGAGCCCGCGGUGGAUUAGCUUGUUGGCGGGGUGACGGCCCACCAAGGCGACGAUCCAUAGCUGGUCUGAGAGGACGAUCAGCCACACUGGGACUGAGACACGGCCCAGACUCCUACGGGAGGCAGCAGUGGGGAAUCUUGCGCAAUGGGCGAAAGCCUGACGCAGCGACGCCGCGUGGGGAAGAAGGCCUUAGGGUUGUAAACCUCUUUCAGGUGGGACGAAGCCACUCGGGUUAAUAGCCCAGAGGGUGACGGUACCGCCAGAAGAAGCCCCGGCUAACUACGUGCCAGCCGCCGCGGUAAU